AUGUUUCUGCUCAAUGCAUCAACAUGCUGC
rnacentral:sRNA from 1 species